rnacentral:rRNA from 1 species
AAGGGCACCACAAGAACGCGUGGAGCAUGUGGCUUAAUUUGACCCAACGCGGGGAAUCUUACCGGGUCCGGACAUACUGAGGAUUGACAGGCGAACGUAAUUAACUUUCAGUUAAUUGCUGCAAAUAUGCUAGUCCUUUCAUGAUUGUGUGAUAGGCGGUGCAUGGCCGUUCUUAGUUCGUGGAGUGAUCUGUCUGCUUAAUUGCGUUUCAGAUAAAGGUCUUUUAAGUCUAUGUUUGGUGUGACCGUCUUCGGAUGCUGUCCCUUUUCAUAACUUGUUGACCUUGAAGGCAACGAACGUGACCG